rnacentral:rRNA from 1 species
UACGUAGGUGGCAAGCGUUGUCCGGAGUUAUUGGGCGUAAAGCGCGCGCAGGCGGUUGGAUACGUCCAUUGUGAAAGCGCCUGGCUCAACUAGGCGAGUGCCGUGGGGACUGUUCAGCUAGAGUGGAGCAGAGGCGAGUGGAAUUCCGGGUGUAGUGGUGAAAUGCGUAGAGAUCCGGAGGAACACCAGAGGCGAAGGCGGCUCGCUGGGCUUUGACUGACGCUGAGGCGCGAAAGCGUGGGGAGCGAACCGG